rnacentral:misc_RNA from 1 species
CCACCAAUGGCAUCAAUCUCAUCCAUGAAAAUGAUGCAGGGUUGGUGAUCUCGAGCAUAUCCAAACAUUUCUCGUAUCAACCUAGCACUUUCUCCAAUGUAUUUGUCGAUAAUGGCACUUGAAACAACCUUCAAAAAGUUGGCAUCUAUGUUACUUGCAAUAGCCCGAGCCAGUAAUGUCUUUCCAGUACCAGGAGGUCCAUAAAGAAGGACACCCUUGGGAGGUUUAAUCCCCACUCUAAGGAAAAG